UGAGGAAUAUUGGACAAUGGGUGAGAGCCUGAUCCAGCCAUCCCGCGUGAAGGACGACGGCCCUAUGGGUUGUAAACUUCUUUUGUAUAGGGAUAAACCUUUCCACGUGUGGAAAGCUGAAGGUACUAUACGAAUAAGCACCGGCUAACUCCGUGCCAGCAGCCGCGGUAAUACGGAGGGUGCAAGCGUUAUCCGGAUUUAUUGGGUUUAAAGGGUCCGUCGGCGGAUCUGUAAGUCAGUGGUGAAAUCUCAUAGCUUAACUAUGAAACUGCCAUUGAUACUGCAGGUCUUGAGUAAAGUAGAAGUGGCUGGAAUAAGUAGUGUAGCGGUGAAAUGCAUAGAUAUUACUUAGAACACCAAUUGCGAAGGCAGGUCACUAUGUUUUAACUGACGCUGAUGGACGAAAGCGUGGGGAGCGAACAGG
rnacentral:rRNA from 1 species